AAAGAUUCUGAAUGUGCUCAAGUGCUGCCCAGUGAAGUAUACUGAGAGAUUCUGCAGAUUAUUGUCUUUUGAGACAUGUUUUCCAAACAAUUAUUUUUAUUGGCUUCAAACAUAGGUUGUAUUGAAUAUUCUGAUUUAAUUUUUUCAUCUCAAUAAUUUGCCAAUUUUUCUUUUUUUCACCUUACUGCUGAAUGAGUGUUUGUCAGCAUAAUUGUCCAGUGACUGAAUUGAUCAUUGUAGCUUUUCUGUGACCAAUCACUCUUAUAUUAUUGAAAUAAUUUUAUGCCUAUAUUUUCCUACUGUAUUGUCAUUGAAGAUGCAUUAGCUGGAGUUCAAGCUGCCAAAGCUGGUCAAAUGAAAUUUAUAGCCGUGACAACUACAUUGUCUGCAGAAACUUUAAAGGCUGCCAGUCCAUCACUUACCCGGAAUGAGAUAGGAAGUGUUUCACUGCAUGAUAUUCUUAGGGGUGGCUCAGAUGGCUAUAGUAUGUAGUCCUGAGAGUAUGAUGCAAAUGUCAAUUUGUACCAUUAUUAAUGUAGAAUGCUGAAGCUACAGUUGUUUCAUGUUUUAAGAACUAUAAGUAAGAUCAAUUUUCUUGUAA